rnacentral:rRNA from 1 species
CCUACGGGCGGCAGCAGUGGGGAAUAUUGGACAAUGGGCGAAAGCCUGAUCCAGCCAUGCCGCGUGUGUGAAGAAGGCCUUCGGGUUGUAAAGCACUUUCAGUGGGGAAGAAAGCCUUGGGGCUAAUACCCUCGAGGAAGGACAUCACCCACAGAAGAAGCACCGGCUAACUCCGUGCCAGCAGCCGCGGUAAUACGGAGGGUGCGAGCGUUAAUCGGAAUUACUGGGCGUAAAGCGCGCGUAGGCGGUCUGAUAAGCCGGUUGGGAAAGCCCCGGGCUCAACCUGGGAACGGCAUCCGGAGCUGUCAGGCUAGAGUGCAGGAGAGGAAGGUAGAAUUCCCGGUGUAGCGGUGAAAUGCGUAGAGAUCGGGAGGAAUACCAGUGGCGAAGGCGGCCUUCUGGACUGACACUGACGCUGAGGUGCGAAAGCGUGGGUAGCAAACAGGAUUAGAUACCCCAGUAGUC